rnacentral:rRNA from 1 species
CGAUGGUUCAUUCAAAUUUCUGCCCUAUCAACUUUCGAUGGUAGAGUAGUGGUCUACCAUGGUUUCAACGGGUAACGGGGGAAUUAGGGUUCUAUUCCGGAGAGGGAGCCCGAGAAACGGUACCACAUCCAAGGAAGGCAGCAGGCGCGCAAAUUACCCAAUCCCGACACGGGGAGGUAGUGACAAUAAAUACUGAUACAGGGCUCUUUUGGGUCUUGUAAUUGGAAUGAGUACAAUUUAAAUCCCUUAACGAGGAACAAUUGGAGGGCAAGUCUGGUGCCAGCAGCCGCGGUAAUUCCAGCUCCAAUAGCGUAUAUUAAAGUUGUUGCAGUUAAAAAGCUCGUAGUUGAACCUUGGGCCUGGCUGGCCGGUCCGCCUCACCGCGUGCACUGGUCCGGCCGGGCCUUUCCUUCUGGGGAGCCGCAUGCCCUUCACUGGGCGUGUCGGGGAACCAGGACUUUUACUUUGAAAAAAUUAGAGUGUUCAAAGCAGGCCUAUGCUCGAAUACAUUAGCAUGGAAUAAUAGAA